ensembl:lncRNA
GAGAGAGAGAGAAAAGAGAGGGAGAGAUUUUAUUGUACGACCUGCCCUCUUUUGAAAAAAAAGCGAGAGAGCGCAGCCAUGCUUUGCAGAGGCUACAGCAUCGCUCUCAUUGGUCGUAUCAGCCCCUCGCCGAACGGAGCCUUCGCUUGUUCGAAAGGAACCGGGGAAUACAAGCCACUGCCACUCCGCGAUGUUAAAAGGUCCGCAGUGAGGCAUUAAUGCUGUAGCGAAGUGAAAAUACCGCAGAGCACGGAUACAUGUUAGCAGAGCGCAGUGUUCUGGGAUCCACCGCGGACCGAAUUGUGGUGCAUUAAGGGAUAAUGGGGGACUUUGAAUCUUCCUACAGUUUUGGACAAAGCAGUCGACGGAAAAUCAUCAAACGUAAUCCAUUUUCACCCGAAAAAGCGGCAUGGGACUGAUCUUUUUGGAUCCGCGCUUGGGAUUUUUUCUUUCUUCCGUUCUUGACCAAACUUGACAUCCUGUUUUAGAGUUUUUAGUUGAGUAAACCUGCUUCAAGAGGCUGCACCAUUAUGUCAUUUACACUUGUAAUAACAGGUUCGACGGAAAGGUUUGAGGUCUUCGGCCGCUUCUCACAGCAAAGUGAAUGCAGCUGGACACACACGACACAUUCUCUCACACACACACACACACACACACACACACACACACACACACACACACACACACACACACACGCCCGAAAACACACACAGACCAGCGGGUUGUGUCUCUCCGUGUUCACAGCGGACCUUGAUUUAAUGUCUUACAAUUAAGGCACGCGGUGAAUGCCAAGAGAUUACCCUUCUUUCUUCGGAUAUAUUCCCAUAACGCAUCACAGCUUAAAACACAUCUCUGGUCCUAUUGGUGUUUCUUUAUGAAUGUUUGCUUCUGUCGUGUCAAACUGUCUCAAUUUUGUACUUUCCCCCUCCCCCUGCCCUACAAUAAAGGAUAUACACACAACCAUUUUAGAGGUCGAAUUUUUUGUUUAAUCUGAACAUGCAUUGUGAUGGCCGCUGUGUGUGUGUGUGUGUGUGUGUGUGUGUGUGUGUGUGUGUGUGUGUGUGUGUGUGUGUGUGUGUGUGUGCGCGCGCGCGUGUCGGUGGGAGCUGUCCGCCCUCACGCUGCCUUCCCGAGAGCGCUGUCCACCUUCUGUGGUGCUGAAAUCUGCGCACCACCGAUCACCUUUUUUUGUUUCUCUUGCCUGCCGUUGCAAAGACAGGAUACUAUUGUACCGGAGUCGAGGAAUGCAACGUGGACCCGGUGACAUAUUAACUGCAUAGAAACACAACGACACUGCGUACGAGUGAUAUUGGAGGGCACGAGAAACACCUCGUUGUUUUAUCUAGCAGAAAGUGAAGACUUCAAAGAAUCAUAGCGAACAAAAUGUGGAAACGGUGCGACUGGUGUAACUGGUUUCUACAGCAGUAUGUACAAAAAAACCUUUAAAUAAAACAACAUCCGUGUUUAAGGGAAAUUUACUGGCGCUUAUUUUGAGAUACUUGCCUCGCUUAUCUGCAGGAUAAACUCGUUAUCAUUCUGAUCCAGCGACCCAUUUUUCUUCACUUGCUUUAAGAAAAAAAUUAAAAGCAGGUAAAAGCAAGUCCUGUUUUGUAAUUCUGCCAAAAAAAACAACAAUCUGAAUGGCCUUGAAUGACAAGUACACAAUGAUUGAGCCAAACUGCACAUUAACUCCCAUGGUGCAGUAUUGAAUGUAAAUGAAGGGAGUGGGUUAAGGACCUCAGCAGAUGGACACUCAAAUGUCUGAUUAGAUUGACAUUUGGAAACAAACCUUUGGAAAGAGCCGAUGAAUGCAGUAUAGCUCGAGUCAAUGAAAUAACAUCCUCCUAUCUCAGUGUAUCGCCUAGUGGCGUGCAGGGGCGCUGCAGUCUUCUAUAGCACCAGAAUUGCAGCAAGAUAUAAAUACACUUCACACUAUCUGAGUUCUAUGAAAAUCUAUUGGGUUUGAUGAUGUCGCUUAAGACACAGUGAAGAUGUACAUGUUGUAAGUACACUUUGACAACAGAAAAUAAUCAGGUCUUGAUUAAUGCACAUCAUUGAGGAGAAUGACAUGAAGGGUGAUGGAUGGAAGAAGUGCCCGAUGAGGGAGGUUACAAACAAUUCACCAAAGUAUUAAUGUGUAUUUCCUUUAAUGCUUCAAAAUAAGCAAUAUCUGGUAAAAACAAUCAACGCUCGGUCAAGAGGAAGUCAUCUUCGAAAUACAAAUAAAUGAGUGAAUUACUUCCUGUCUUAAACUAUAGAUAAGUGCAUGAAUGUGUGAAUGUGGGGCUGCAAGUCUUAAAAUGCUCCGAGUGAAUGCCAAUGCUUCAGGCAACAUGCAUCCGUUCGCGAGGUUAACAGAAAAUGAAACUGUAAAUUUGGCCAGCUGCAGAAUAUUUCGAGCAGCCUGCAUGUCAUGCCAUGAAUAUGGCUGGACGUACAGCACCCACAAGACAAAAUGUAACUUUCAUAUCAGGUCCCAACAGCCUGAGAGUCUGGCAUCCACUGAUAACCCAAAUCUUCAAAGUUGAAUAAAAUCCACCAGGCUGCUAUACAGCAUGUUCAUCAAGCCACCCUCAGCAUCCGCAGCAAAAGGUAAAGUCAUUGCCUGCCCUCUCGUGGUAAGGAAUGAAAAAGCUUAAUUUGGCUGCGUACGAGAUUCAUUUUAAAUGGGCAAUCAAAAACUAAAUUGGAUGAAUUACACUGUGAUUAAUUAUAUCAGCCUGAAUUAGGUAAAACUGAAAUAUGGACAGCAAAAGGCUAACAGAUUUAACAGUUUUAAUGCAUCUAGUACAGUUUAUACUUUACUAAUACACACAGAUCUGGAAC